rnacentral:rRNA from 2 species
UACGAAGGGGGCUAGCGUUGUUCGGAAUUACUGGGCGUAAAGCGCACGUAGGCGGACAUUUAAGUCAGGGGUGAAAUCCCAGGGCUCAACCCUGGAACUGCCUUUGAUACUGGGUGUCUUGAGUACGAGAGAGGUGAGUGGAAUUCCGAGUGUAGAGGUGAAAUUCGUAGAUAUUCGGAAGAACACCAGUGGCGAAGGCGGCUCACUGGCUCGUAACUGACGCUGAGGUGCGAAAGCGUGGGGAGCAAACAGG